UGCGUAGGCGGGCCGGUCAGUCGGGUGUGAAAACUCACGGCUUAACCGUGGGCUUGCAUUCGAAACUGCCAGUCUUGAGUACGGGAGAGGGAAGUGGAAUUCCUGGUGUAGCGGUGAAAUGCGUAGAUAUCAGGAGGAACACCUGUGGCGAAGGCGGCUUCCUGGACCGAUACUGACGCUGAGGCACGAAGGCCGGGGGAGCAAACAGGAUUAGAUACCCUGGUAGUCC
rnacentral:rRNA from 1 species